CUUAGUGGCGGACGGGUGAGUAACGCGUGGGGAACCUGCCUUGCACCGGGGGGUAACACUUAGAAAUAGGUGCUAAUACCGCAUAAGCGCACAGAGCCGCAUGGCUCGGUGUGAAAAACUCCGGUGGUGCAAGAUGGACCCGCGUCUGAUUAGCUGGUUGGCGGGGUAACGGCCCACCAUGGCGACGAUCAGUAGCCGGCCUGAGAGGGUGAACGGCCACAUUGGGACUGAGACACGGCCCAAACUCCUACGGAAGGCAGCAG
rnacentral:rRNA from 1 species